UUCCAAAAUGUACUCCCUUAUGUUUCCCUUGCCUUUAUACCUCAUGGAAACAAGUUUGCUCACAAGAGUACUUGUUUCCGCCUUUUCGUUUUGUGCAAAACACUUUUCAAGGUUUUCAAGAAAAACUUUGGCAUUAUUUUCAUCAUUGAUAGUGCCCCUGAAUGAUUCUGGAAUUGCACAUUUCAUGAUCAUUAGACUCAUGCGAUUUGAG
rnacentral:lncRNA from 1 species